UUUUUAGCAGGAUCGACCUCGACUCCUCUUAUCCGCUCACAAGCCUCGGCAGCUUGCUGGACAACACUCCAUAAGUGCACUGAUUCGAACUUAACAGUAUGAGUUAUCUCAAACCGGUCAGACAACUUGAUCCACCGGAUGCCCCUCUUCUGCUAGGGACUUUGCCAUCAUGUCAUCAACAUGGCAUUCUCUUUCACGAUGAGUCAUAUCAUGAAACAAAGUCACCGUAGCCCUUUGAUCCGUGGCACCGACCUUU
rnacentral:lncRNA from 1 species